ACCUUCCUCAGGGCUUCUUUCUCCUCGGCUCCCAACACCACCCGAGGCUUCUUCACCUGACCAUAGGAACACAGGUCCAGCGAGGCUAAGGCUGGACUCACACACUCGGAGCGAGUACUGGGUGUCCAGCUCAGAGGACAUGGCUACCAGCUCCUGGAUGCCAAGUGGGUUGGCGGGAUGAUGUAAGGCUAUGAGGCUGGAGGUUGACUUCCCGCCCUCGGGCUGGGGAGGCAGCCCCAGGACCAGACUCUCAGGCUGCUGGUUCUCCUUGCUGCUCUCCAGAGAGAGGCUCACCGGUUCAACCAGUGGACUCGGCUGACCCUCUGCUGGACUCAAGGGUGGGGACGGUGAAGACUGCGUGAUGACUGGACUUUUAUCUGAGGCUGAUAGACAGCAGAUGUAAAAAGAACAGUUAUUCAAAGGUGCCAAAUAUUCCGAUUUGUCCGUAGUUUGUUACAGCCAAUUGCCAUAUAUUUCGGCGUUAUGGCUAAGUCGAAAAUGUUCCGGAGAUCUGCGACAGAGAAGGUAUCGCACGUGUAGUCCAAAGUAUUGUGGCAAAUGGUUGGUGGACAAUAUUUAGACUACAAACUAAGUGCGUUUUUGUUGAAGAUGUCAUCAUGUUUUCAAGCGAGUGUAACGACUCACUUAUCAUCGCCCCGUGGCGGCAAAUAAGAUACACUUCACACAACAUUCCUUUUCACAAAAGGAGAACAAGUAGUAAUAAACCGGAGAGGACUGCUAAGCCAUAGUCAAAAGUAGUCUUGAGAUGCCAAAAUAAGUGCUUGGUGGAAAAGUGAAAUUCUCACUGAAUUAUUGAGAAAACCACACGCACAGGGAGUAACCAGUAACAGUAAAUUAAUGUGUCUGGAAAUAGAAUAUAAUACACAGACACUUGCAAAACUGACGGAGAUAAAUGAUUACAUAUGUCAUCCAAGGGGAGGGGCAUCAUAACUGAAAAGUACUUCCAUACAUAAUAUAUUAAAUAUUUAUAAUAUCAGUGAUGUUAAUUAUGACAUUACCAGGGAGGUAUUUUGAUGUCUUUUGGGUAUUCUCAAGUGGGCCUGAAAAUGUCUACCGCUGAUUGAGGUGGUUGUUCCAAUCCACAUCAUCAUGCUUCGUUUUGCAUUUGGCUUUUGAGAUACACACAAUAAAUGUUUACUUAACUCUAAAACAACAACUGUGGGUAACUAAAGGACCAUACUACACAUAACAAAAUCAAAAUGCUCCCGACAAACAAUACACAAUGUCUCUGAUAGCUGAUGAUAUGGGCACAUGCACAAGAGCUGUUCCAUUGAAACCGGUCUUUGAAUGCAGACUUACCUUGACCCUGGUGCGGGGCCUGGUUGAGGGUCUGACCUAGCUGGUCAAGUAACCAGAGUUGCAUGCGGAUGAAGGGUUCUCUGCCUUUCUGAGUCAGCUUGCUCCAGGGUUUGGGCCGUGAUAGCAUGUCACUCACGCUCCCCUGAGAAAGCCCAAGCACCUGUCCAACAUAUACUUUUUUUUAUAUAUGACUCCACACACUGUAUGAAAGAGUAAAGGUGCCAAUUGUGUAUGUCACGCAUCGUUUAAAAGCGAUGCAGCUCCAAAAGCAGCCACUAGAGGUCAGCACAACACCAUAAAUAUGGAAAAAGAGCUUUCUAAUUAGGCCAUCAAACUUGGAAUCAAAGUAGGAACCAUUGAAUAAAAAACAUCAAACAUUUAAAAUGAGAGCAACAAUCAAUAAAGGGGUUUGUACUAACGGGCCAAAUUCAAGUUGAGGGUUGAGAAAAGUUUUUUUUUUUUUAAACAGUGAUGUCUUAUAAUGAUCUAAUUUGCCACAUUCGUAAUCAAAGACUGAAUAACAUAUUUGAUUGGUGUUUGGGGCCAGAUGAGUGAACAUGUGCAUAUUUUAUUAAAGUAAAAGAUUUGCAAAUGGUACAAGCGUGGGGAAAAAUAAAAUCUUCAUUUCAAAAAUCUAUCCAUUUGCAGCAACAAUAAAAGUAUAACAAUGUAAGUCUUGCUUAGACCGUAAAGUAAAUCAAAACAGCUUUUUAAAACCGUUCCACGUGAGUAAAUCUGCGAGCAAGCGAACAAUCGAGCAGCUAAAAUGUAUGUGAAAAGAAUAUACGAUUAAUGAUUUAUGUGAACUGACCUUUUCACCAAAGAUCCUCUGGCAGAUGCCAUUCUUUGCCAGCUUCUCCUUUACUUGCCUGGUCAACUCGAUGGUAUCCACUUCCCGGUACAUGUACAACUCGUACUGUUCUGGAGUCAGCGGUGGGACGGUGGGCUUCAAAGCUCGUGGAAUGUACGCUGGAUAGUAAGAAAGGCGGCCGGGACUAGGGCCCGGGGACUCGCCACUGACUGAGGUGUCAGACUCCACCUUCACCUCCAUGGGCCGGCCCAGCCCGAGCUCUUCUUCAGCCGCAGAGGCCUCUUCGCUGAGACACUCACCGUUCUCCAGGCGAGGCCAGGGCCGGGUCAAUAUGGAGGGACCGGAAGAGGAGGAAGACACGGAGGGGGAAAUGGAGUUAAAGGGCCGGGAGCUUCCCACCCCGAAGCCCAUCGACCCCCGCUCCUGGGACCAGUGCUGGUCAAAACUCACCUCCCCUCUGGGAUUGGAUCUCCUUCUUGGCCUGCUCCAGGAUAUUCCUGAUGGCGUCGUCUGACCCAGUUUCUGGAGUUCGGAUGCGUGGAGUGAUGCUCCCUGCCAUAAGGGGUGGGAGGAGAGACAGCAGAAAGGAGGGGUGAGUGGGAUGGUUGAUCAGAGAGCAGUUUCAAGGCUUUACUUUUGACUGGUAGAUCAAUGGCUGCCUUUGAGUGUGUGCUGUCUGAAGGUUCUGUAUACGGGAAGCUCAACUUUCAAAAGCUAUGAAUCUAGGGAGAAAACAAAGUUGAAAAGCAAGACUACAAACAUGGCACAAGAAGUCAAGGAUGAGGUCCAAGUUGGUUUUAAGUAUAAUAAGCCACCAAUUGACAUUUUGGGUAUAGUGGCUGGAAUCUAUCUUGCAAUCAUUGAAAUUAUGUCGACUUCUGCCAGACAAUAAGCAAAUUAUUUUUUUUAACGGAGCCAAUCCUUGUUUUUAUGUGGAAAAUGCUUAUUGUGGCAUAUUUCCACUUAUUCAAGAAUUUGGCGGGGGGGUUAAAAAAAAUAGAUCUAUAAAUUAACUGAUGAAUAUUUUUAGAUUCCAUGACACUGUCAAUUAUUCUAUAAUUCUAUAAUUGAAUAAUCAGAUUGCAUUAAAUCUUAUGUAAAUGUAAUUAAAUCAGCAUUGCUGUUAAAUGUACCCUAUUAAUUAUUUACAGGUGAAAUUAUAUAUAGUUUACAUAUUGUUUAGACUGAACAUACAGUAUCACAUGGUGCAAAUUCUAAUCUUUUUAGAUGGUUACAUUGAUCACCUAUUAUUUCACGUCUCAGGAGCUCUAAGAGUUAUAAGGGUUGGUCAUGUCUGAUUUGGUCUCCUGAUAUUCUGGGACUGGGCUAACCCACAAAUACUGAAUCUGUGUGUAACUGACAGCCAUUGCCAUGCAGUGCGUGUGUGUGUGUUCCUUAAACAACAUGCUAACAAACAACGUGUUUCUGUUCAUUAUGUGGUGUCUUCCACUCACCUCUUUGGCGGACCUGGAUGGUCCUGAGUGCCAGGAUGUUCUGCUCAUCAGAAAGGAACUGCUUCAUUUUAAUGAAGGGCUCUUUGCCUUUCACAGUCAACUUUCUCCAGGGUUUGGGCCUGGCCAGGAUCUCACUGACUGAGCCUUGCGAGAGGCCAAGCACAUAGUGGCCAAACACACGCUGGCCGAUGUUAUGCUUCAGCAGCUGCUCCUUCACCUGGAACGCGAUCUCCGCUGUGUCGACUUGGUCGUCGUCCCCUGCGGUCGAGCCACCACUUUCGGACUGGUCACUAGGCAAGCCUGCGUCACUGCUGCCGGACCCUUGAGUGGCUGACAUGAGGGCCACCUUGGCUGCGUAGAGUGCAGUGGGAAAAGCCAUAUGGCCUUCCUUUUUAAAAUGUGGGGAGAGAAGAUGCUUGUGGAGGAGGUGGUCUCCUGAAAGCCGGUCACCAGAACACGGUGACACGGAGAAGGGACGAGGCAGAUCGUGGCUGGAGGACGACCCAUUCAGUGUGGGAGGACCAGGACUGGGGGAGGCGUGACCACCAUCCACUUGAGAGCAUGACGAGUUGGAGCCGGGCGGCCUGCCUGUCUCGCGGGCUCCAUCCUCCGACUGGUCAUCAUCUACAGAUUGACAGUGACAUGUUCUGCUUUUAUUGUAUACCGUAGUACGUACAUCUCAUUAUAACAAUCUAACAUAAAUUGCUAAAAAUG